rnacentral:rRNA from 1 species
UACGUAGGGGGCGAGCGUUGUCCGGAUUUACUGGGCGUAAAGAGCGCGCAGGCGGUCGUUCAAGUCGAGUGUGAAAGCCCCCGGCUCAACUGGGGAGGGUCAUUCGAUACUGAUCGACUUGAAGGCAGGAGAGGGAAGUGGAAUUCCCGGUGUAGUGGUGAAAUGCGUAGAUAUCGGGAGGAACACCAGUGGCGAAAGCGGCUUCCUGGUCAGGGACCGACGUUCAGGCACGAAAGCGUGGGGAGCAAACAGG